rnacentral:lncRNA from 1 species
UUGGAAAGAACCGUAAGGUUCUUCUAUCAUAACAGCAAGUGAGCAGUUUUAUCCUAAGAAGAAUGAGUCAUAGCUUGUUGGUUGUUGUAGAAGUCGAGAAUAAGGUCAAAUUCGAACCAAGAAUGAGAUUGGCUCCUUCGAGCUAAUCCAAAUAAAAACAAAUUUAAAUUGAAUUAGACGAGUGAAACACCCUCUGUCUAUUUUGUGUUGCUGUCCUGAAACUGAAUAUAAAAGGAAUACAGAGUGCAAAUACAAAGACUGAGACACUUUAUUAGACAAAUUUGCUAAAAAGUAACAAGUCCCCUUGAUAGAUGAUACCAUAAGCACAUACUAGCCUUUUCCUACUCUGUAGCAAUGCAAGCAUGGUGCUUCCUAUAUUAGUGCCUGUGUCUGUGAAAGGAUUUAACAAUGAUCCAAGAAGAUGGAAUUGGAACCUCUAUGGAUGUGUUCAAUAAAAAUAUUAGAGAAGAGUAAAUGUUCAUAAUUAUGUUUUGCAAAAAUACAUGUAUGGCUUAAUUAAGAGAUGGAAUAGAAUAAUUCAAUAUGUAUAGCUUAAUUAAGUUUAGAAGAUAGUAAUAUCUGCCUCCUUACCUUCAUAAAAGGGCAACUUAUCGAAGAACCCUUUUAAGUACUUCAAUAUUGUGAUAAUGGUCUGUUGUUACCCCUUACUAGCUGCGAUGGCUUUGGUAUAGGCAAUAAUGUGCCCUAUGUUGAUGCCUCGACGUUGGUGUUCAUGAUUUUUGUGCAUUUGGCAAGACAACGGGUUGAUAUCACAUUAUGUGUGAGUGUUUAACUUGCAAGGGCAGUCAUCCAAAGCUAUUUGAACUCUUAUAUUCAAGUUAGUGCAUAAAAUAGAAUAUUUAUGCAAGAGACAAAAUUUUGGCUAACGCUUG